rfam:Candidatus Doudnabacteria bacterium RIFCSPLOWO2_02_FTLL_48_13 rifcsplowo2_02_scaffold_2813, whole genome shotgun sequence.
GGCCCCAUCGUCUAAUGGUUAGGACGAAUGGUUCUCAGCCAUUAAAUCGGGGUUCGAUUCCCCGUGGGGCUG